rnacentral:lncRNA from 1 species
AUGUUUCCAUUAAGAUAACUAUUACAGUCAACACAUGAUGUAAUCAAUAUAAAUUAGACCAAAAUAUUCGAUAUGAUUUAUAAAGAAAAAAAUAAUUAUCUACUCUACUUCUUAAGAUAAUGUGGCAUUUUGGAUAUGUGGCAAACUCAAUGCAAGUAAUAUUACAAGUGGACCUAAAUAAAGAGGGAAAGCCGAUGCCAAUAAUGAUGGGGAGAAAAGUGAUGGUGG